rnacentral:rRNA from 1 species
UACAGAGGUCUCAAGCGUUUGUUCGGAUUCAUUGGGCGUAAAGGGUGCGUAGGCGGCGCGGUAAGUCGGGUGUGAAAUCUCGGGGCUUAACUCCGAAACUGCAUUCGAUACUGCCGUGCUUGAGGACUUGAGAGGAGACUGGAAUUUACGGUGUAGCGGUGAAAUGCGUAGAUAUCGUAAGGAAGACCAGUGGCGAAGGCGGGUCUCGUGGACAGUUCCUGACGCUGAGGCACGAAGGCCAGGGGGAGCAAACGGGG